rnacentral:lncRNA from 1 species
UGAGCAUAUUCUUACAUCAUCUCCCACGGAUAAACUCUAAAAACCCAACGCAUCCACAGCUUUCUCUCUUCCGAAUUUCAAGUCCCAGACUUCAUGGAAACAGAACGGAGCAGCUAACGGAUUAGAAGCUCCCAUCCGCGAUCAUCUUCCGAGCUUCACGGUAUCCUUCUUCCGAACCAAGUCAACUUCCCAUCCGGAUUCAUCCCAGCAUCUUUCGGAUAAGCUCUCAACAACAUCGCAGCUACUCUCCCGAGCAUCACGGCACCCAAACAACCCCUGUUUCAUGCAUCUUCAUCUCAGACAUUAUCCCAUCCAGCUCCUCUGUUCCCAGCUGCAUCUCAGCCGGAAGUUAUCAUCCAUCAACCGAAUCCCCGACUUCAGCUUUCUCUAGAAUCAUCCUCUCCCACGUCCAAGUAAUCCAUGGCCAAUUGGAUGAUCAUCCCAAACAACUGCCUCCUAGAUUUCCUCUUCUGCGUUCAUCCUCAUCCACCGACUGCAACAAAUCCAUAGCGUCCCGUGUUCUCGCCAGCAGGAAAAUCAAGCUUCAGCAGUCAUGGAUAGACUCAAAUCCUCCGCACCAGCCGCAUCCAAGAUCCUCUCCGCAUUGAAGAAGCACCGAUUCCUUCCAUCCAUCGCCCACGGAUGACAACCAGCAAGCUCAAAUCAACCUCCUGUGGAUCAACACCUUCAACCGUCCAACCGUCCUUCCACGUCUCACCCGCGUCCGCAAAAUAGAGUUGUUUUCUCUGCCUUAUCUUCCCACUCGGAAGACCUUAUCCAGGAGGAAAAUAGAUGGGCUGGUGAAGGCUAUAAAAGGGGAGGAGACGGACCCCUUGAAACCGAACUCUCUUCGGAGGAGGGAGUACCACGACAAUAAAAAACAGAGGAGGGAGAGAGGUUUGGCUAUUUUGGGAAUAUUUCAAAGGAGAAAGAGAAGGAAGGAAUGGGAGCCCGCUGCUGUGCUGCUGCUGCCGUCCACCACUCCAUGGAAGGCUGAUCUUCUCUCUAGGGCUGGAUGCAGCCCUAACAAAGGGACACGGGUUUUAUAUUUUAUUUUAUAUUCUUGGGGUUGUAUGAACUUAUUAUUUCUAAUGAAUAUCUUCUUUUGAAUCAUAUUUAAUUUCUGUGAUUUU